GUGGUGGGGUUGCAUCACUUACCUGACCUCCCCCUGGCCAGGUAGCUGCUGCACACCAGGAUGGAGAGCAGGAAGGGGCAAAGUGGUGGCAAGGUUGCUGACCUUGCCACUGCCUUGCCUCUCUCUUCUUCCCGGUAUGCAGUGGUGGCUUGGCUGGAGGGAGGUCAAGUAAGCAAUGCUGCCCCUCCAU